rnacentral:rRNA from 1 species
AACGUAGGAGACAAACGUUAUCCGGAGUUACUGGGCGUAAAGGGCGUGUAGGUGGUAUCGUAAGUCUGGCGUGAAAUUUCUCGGCUUAACCGAGGCAGGUCGUCGGAUACUGCGAGGCUAGAGGACGGUAGAGGCGUGUGGAAUUCCGGGUGUAGUGGUGAAAUGCGUAGAGAUCCGGAGGAACACCGGUGGCGAAGGCGGCGCUCUGGACCGAGACUGACGCUGAGGCGCGAAAGCGUGGGGAGCAAACAGG